rnacentral:rRNA from 1 species
UGAGGGAUAUUGGUCAAUGGGCGCAAGCCUGAACCAGCGACGCCGCGUGGGUGAAGAAGGUCUUCGGAUCGUAAAGCCCUUUUCCCACUGAAGAGGAAGGACGGUAGGUGGGGAAGAAGUCUCGGCUAACUACGUGCCAGCAGCCGCGGUAAAACGUAGGAGACAAGCGUUAUCCGGAGUUACUGGGCGUAAAGGGCGUGCAGGUGGCGUCUUAAGUCUGUUGUGAAAGCGCCUGGCUUAACCGGGCGAGGCCAAUGGAGACUGAGAGGCUGGAGGACGGCGGAGCGGUGUGGAAUUGCGGGUGUAGUGGUGAAAUGCGUAGAGAUCCGGAGGAACACCAGAGGCGAAGGCGGCACUCUAAGCCGUACCGGACACUGAGACGCGA